AUUGAACGCUGGCGGCAGGCCUAACACAUGCAAGUCGAACGGUAACAGGAAGAAUCUUGCUUCUUUGCUGACUAGUGGCGGACGGGUGAGUAAUGUCUUGGAAACUGCCUGAUGGAGGGGGAUAACUACUGGAAACGGUAGCUAAUACCGCAUAACGUCGCACGACCAAAGAGCGGGACCUUCGGGCCUCUUGCCAUCGGGUGUGCCCAGAUUGGAUUAGCUAGUAGGUGGGGUAACGGCUGACCUAGGCGACGAUCCCUAGCUGGUCUGAGAGGGUGACCAGCUACACGGGAACUGAGACACGGUAGAGACUCCUACGGGAGGCAGCAGUGGGGAAUAUUGCGCAAUGGGCGCAAGCCUGAUGCAGCCAUGCCGCGUGUAUGAAGAAGGCCUUAGGGUUGUAAAGUACUUUCAGCGGGGAGGAAGGGAGUAAAGUUAAUACCUUAGCUCAUUGACGUUACCCGGAGAAGAAGCACCGGCUAACUCCGUG
rnacentral:rRNA from 1 species